GCCUGGAGGAGGAAGGACGUGGUCCGCCCCGCCUCGGUGGUCAGCGCGGUCAGCGCGGUCAGCGCGGAACUACCAUGUAUUCUGUUACCUCCUGGCAGGCGCAAGUGAAAAAGAGAGUUUAGCAUUCCACCUUAAACAGCCAGAAGAGUAUCACUAUCUCAAUCAGGAUCUUCUUUCAGCAAUACUGAUUUGGGUAGUAUCUGUUACAAGAAGGCAUACCGGGACGACUCCCUUGAUAUCUGUAAUCCUGAAGUUCUGCCUGUUGUCUCAGAAUUAUUAGAAGAGGAAGCCACCAGGAUGGUGUGCAAUGUGUGCUUCCACGUGAUGGGAUGUUACCCGGCAGUAAAAAGAAUUCCCUCUCAAGCCGCACAUGUGGAGAAAUUGUAAAUGCCCCCUUCUGAGUGAAAGAAGCCAAUCUGAAAAGGCUGCUUACUCUGAUUCCAGCUGUGUGGCAACUGGGAAAAGGCA